rnacentral:rRNA from 1 species
UUUAAAGAAAGCGUAACAGCUCACUGGUCUAAAUAAGAGGUUCUGCGGCGAAGAUGUAACGGGGCUAAAGUGAUGCACCGAAGCUUAGGGUGUGACGUAAGUCACGCGGUAGCGGAGCGUUCCGUAAGCCUGUGAAGCGAUCUGGUAAUGGGUCGUGGAGGUAUCGGAAGUGCGAAUGCAGACAUGAGUAGCGAUAAAAAGGGUGAGAUGCCCUUUCGCCGAAAGACCAAGGGUUCCUGCGCAAGGCUAAUCCGCGCAGGGUGAGUCGGCCCCUAAGACGAGCCCGAAGGGGGUAGUCGAUGGGAACACGGUUAAUAUUCCGUGACCUGGUGGUGUGUGACGGAUCUCGUGUGUUGUUCUCCCUUAUUGGAUUGGGAGGGCUUCGAAGAGGUUCCAGGAAAUAGCCUCCACAUUAGACCGUACCCGAAACCGACACAGGUGGACUGGUAGAGUAUACCAAGGCGCUUGAGAGAACUAUGUUGAAGGAACUCGGCAAUUUACCUCCGUAACUUCGGGAUAAGGAGGCCCAUUGCUCGCGCAAGCGGGCAGUGGGGGCACAGACCAGGGGGUGGCAACUGUUUAACAAAAACACAGGGCUCUGCGAAAUCGCAAGAUGACGUAUAGGGUCUGACGCCUGCCCGGUGCCGGAAGGUUAAGAGGAGAGGUGCAAGCUUUGAAUCGAAGCCCCGGUAAACGGCGGCCGUAACAAUAACGGUCCUAAGGUAGCGAAAUUCCUUGUCAGGUAAGUUCUGACCCGCA